AGUGACAGAGUGAGGGGAGGACUGGUGACAGAGUGAGGGAGGUGGUGACUAGUGACAGAGUGAGGGAGGUGGUGACUGUCACUAGUCACCACCUCCCUCACUCUGUCCCUAGUCACCACCUCCCUCACUCUGUCCCUAGUCACCCCUCCCUCUGUCACUAGUAACCCCCUCCCUCACUCUGUCACU